AGUGCAAGUGUCAAUAGCAAACUAAGCAACUAAAGGCUCUAAAUAAAGGUUCAAUAGAUUUAAGCUUUCCUUUUGUCCGUGUUGCGUCAGUUAACAAAGUGCGGAGAAUAUCUUGUACUAUAAAUUUGUUGUGAUUAAUUUGUGUAUCCCAUUUUGCACAACUCAAAGAGAUAACAUUACUGUAAAACCAAAAGAAGUGCUUAAUAUAAGGAAUACUUGUGCUCAAGCGGAUAAUAAUACUUGCACGCGCAUGUAACAAGCGGGGUGGAAGUGGUGUCAUAUAGCGGCUCCUUAGUGCUAUUGAUGUUAGGGAUGUUUCCCUCGGUUAUGAUUGAAAUGGAGGUUAUGUUAGAAAGGAAAAUCCAACCAAAAAGGAGCUGAUGGUAUUUGCCAAAAAGGAAGGUACAACCCCCUCCCAAAAAAGUACUGUACCUUUUAAAUUGUUCGAGUUAUGCGACACGCAGCUAUAAUAACAGCAACACGUCUCAGCGGAAAAACUAGGAAGCCGCCAUUUGAAAGCAUUUUGAACAGCAAAGGGUUGGUGACAUGACAGUGACUACAAUAAUGGAAAAUUGGUUUUAAGUGUUCGAACAUAAUAGCGAAAAUAACAUCAUGGCUGGGUGGUUUAGAUGUUAUUGUCUACGCGAACAAUCAGAGGUUAUAGAGUUUAUAGCGAGUACCAGAAAGAGUAUUAAAAGUCAAGUUCAAGGCCAAUAUGUCAUAUCAAUAAUAAACAGAAUAAAUCCUAAUAAUGCCUAACAGUGAUUGUAAAAUUAUUACAUUAUUGCAUCACGUAUACAUGUUCAUUGUAAUUCACAUAUUGAGUAGCUUUAGCGUAUAUUUGAAGAGUGAAAGUUAUAAAUAAAAAAAUUCUGCAAGACCUCAUGUUCGCUGAAUUCGUUUCUUUUUGCUGCUUUGCAUUUCCCUACCACUGCCAGCCACAGCUCUUGUCUAGUUACGUAUUGUAGUUUGGGAAUGUAGCCAUUAGCAUCACAAUGUUACAAUACAGCAGACCCUUUUUCCCAUUUUUUUUU